AUUGAACGCUGGCGGCAUGCUUUACACAUGCAAGUCGAACGGCAGCUCGGGCUUCGGCCUGGCGGCGAGUGGCGAACGGGUGAGUAAUGCAUCGGAACGUGCCCAGUAGUGGGGGAUAGCCCGGCGAAAGCCGGAUUAAUACCGCAUACGACCUGAGGGUGAAAGCGGGGGACCGAAAGGCCUCGCGCUAUUGGAGCGGCCGAUGUCGGAUUAGCUAGUUGGUGGGGUAAAGGCUUACCAAGGCGACGAUCCGUAGCUGGUCUGAGAGGACGACCAGCCACACUGGGACUGAGACACGGCCCAGACUCCUACGGGAGGCAGCAGUGGGGAAUUUUGGACAAUGGGGGCAACCCUGAUCCAGCAAUGCCGCGUGAGGGAAGAAGGCCUUCGGGUUGUAAACCGCUUUUGUUCGGGAAGAAAUCCUCUGGGCUAAUACCCCGGGGGGAUGACGGUACCGGAAGAAUAAGCACCGGCUAACUACGUG
rnacentral:rRNA from 1 species